rnacentral:lncRNA from 1 species
CAGGGAUGUGCUAAAUGUUCUACAGUGCACGCGACAGCCCUCCACAACCACGAAUUAUCAGGCUCCAAAUGCCAAUAGUGCCGAGGUUGAGAGACUCAGGGCUAGAGUUUUAGAAAAACUUAAAAGAAAUAAGAUUUGGGUAAUACAAUUACAAUAACAACACAUUAUUAGAAGUGGAAUGGUUGAACUGUAUUUUUCUGAGUGCUGCUCAAGAUUUUAGAUAUAUUACAGUGAACUCCCAUCCCAAGCCCCAUAUUGAUGCUGAUUUGGAUAUAACGCGAUCAACAAUUGGCAGCAAACACCCCAGCCUUCCAUUCACCUCUCCUUGGCAAUAAUGUGGCCCCUUAUUUUACCAGGCAGAGUUGUUUGGACCCACUGAUAGUAUGACAGCAGCGUUUGAUCGUCGUGCCACAGUGCUGGUGGAGACCAUGAGCAAGCUAAUGCCAUUCUCGCCAGUCUGACCUUUUUUUUUUUUUUUUUUUUGAGGUCUCACUCUGUUGCCCAGGCUGGAGUGCAGUGGCGCAAUCUUGGCUCACUGCAAGCUCCGCCUCCUGGGUUCACACCAUUCUCUUGCCUCAGCCUCCCAAGUAGCUGGGACUACAGGCAUCUGCCACCACACCAGGCUAAUUUUUCGUAUUUUUAGUAGAGACGGGGUUUCACCAUGUUAGCCAGGAUGGUCUCGAUCUCCUGACCUCGUGAUCCACCCACCUCGGCCUCCCAAAGUGCUGGGAUUACAGGUGUGAGCCACCGUGCCCGGCCCAGUCUGACCAUUUUUAAUCCAGUCUGUGGGGCUGCGUUGACAGAUUCUAUUCAGCAUUUUUUUUUUAACCUGAAUGGCGUUUCUCCCUUCAUGCUGGUUAAGAGCAUAGGCUUUGGAGGUGGCCGUAGCCAGAUUGCACUCUCCGUUCUGGGAGGGUUUGUUCCAUCAACCACUGCACAUUCAGUGCCUGGUAAGACAGGGUGCUCAGGAAGAACUUGGGGAAUGAAUGAACGUAGCAGUCAUUCUCUGUUUCACCUCAUUAAGCCUUAGUUUUCUUCUCUAUAAGAUGGAGCAAAUAGCACCUAGGACAUCAGGUUAUUGCAAGAAUGAAAUGAAAUUAGACCAUGCAUAUCAAGCCGACAGCCCAGAACCAGACGCACAGCUCAAUGAGGAAACUGAGGCUCAGAGAAGUCCAGGGAUUUGCCCAAAGACAAAGGAUUUAAGCCUGAGUCCAUCAGAUGUCAAAGCCCAUGCUUCUUCCCUGACAUCACUC